GGUCAAGCUACAAAGAGCGCAAGGGGAAUGCCUUGGCACUGAGAGCCGAUGAAGGACGCGACUAACUGCGAUAAGCUAUGGGGAGCCGUAAGUGGGCAUUGAUCCAUAGAUUUCCGAAUGGAGCAAUCCGGCUGGAGUCAUGUCCAGUCACUGUAUGAUGAAUACAUAGUCAUACAGGGGGAACCGCCUGAACUGAAACAUCUAAGUAGGGCGAGGAAAAGACAUCAACAGAGAUUCCGCUAGUAGUGGCGAGCGAACGCGGAAGAGGCCAAACCGGGGGUAGCAAUACCCUCGGGGUUCGGACAGCAACAUGUACGACAAGGGAUAGCAGAAUGGCAUGGGAAGGCCAACGAAACAGUGUGAAAGUCACGUAUGCGAAAUCCCCAGUCGGCUAGCUGUAUCCAGAGUACCGCCGGACACGUGAAACCCGGUGGGAACAUGGGGGGACCACCCUCCAAGCCUAAAUACUACUCAGUGACCGAUAGCGAAAAGUACUGUGAAGGAAAGGUGAAAAGAACCCCGGGAGGGGAGUGAAAUAGAACCUGAAACCUUGUGCUUACAAGCACCGAGAGCCCGUCAAUGGGUGAUCGGGUACCUAUUGUAGAAUGGUCCGGCGAGUGAGUAUAACUGGCAAGGUUAAGGACUUAAGGUCUGGAGCCGUAGCGAAAGCGAGUCUGAAUAGGGCGCAUGAAGUCAGUUGUAUUCGACCCGAAACCGGGUGACCUACCCAUGUCCAGGUUGAAGUGGAGGUAAAACUCCAUGGAGGACCGAACCGACUCCCGUUGAAAUGGUAGCGGAUGAGGUGUGGGUAGCGGAGAAAUUCCAAUCGAACCCGGAGAUAGCUGGUUCUCUCCGAAAUAGCUUUAGGGCUAGCCUUGUAUUAGAUUACUGGAGGUAAAGCACUGAAUGGGCUAGGGGCCGAAAGGUUACUGAACCCUAUCAAACUAAGAAUGCCAGAUAAUUGAUGUACGGGAGUCAGACAGUGUGAGAUAAGUUUCAUUGUCAAAAGGGAAAGAGCCCAGACCCACAGCUAAGGUCCCUAAAUACAGUUAAGUGGAAAAGGAUGUGGGGGUGCACAGACAACCAGGAUGUUGGCUUAGAAGCAGCCAUUCAUUAAAAGAGUGCGUAAUAGCUCACUGGUCGAGUGCCCCUGCGCCGAAAAUUUAACGGGGCUAAAUUGUAUACCGAAGCUUGGGAUAGCACCUUUAUGGUGUUAUGGUAGGAGAGCGUUGUGUAAGGGGUGAAGUCAGAGCGUGAGCGCUGGUGGACUUUACACAAGUGAGAAUGCCGGAAUGAGUAGCGAGAAAUAUGUGAGAAUCAUAUUGGCCGAAAGUCUAAGGUUUUUGGAGGAAGGUUCGUCCGCUCCAAGUAAGCCGGGAGCUAAGGUGAGGCCGAAAGGCGUAGCCGAUGCACAUACGGUGGAUAUUCCGUAGCCGCCAAAAGAUUUAAGUAAGAGGACACCUUGAAAGGGCAUAACCCAGGCGUUGGUUGACCUGGGCGUAAGGGACCGAAAUUAGAGUAGGGAAGUAUGCUUGGACGAGGGCGAGAAAAGUCUUAUGUAUAUCUGAGGCGCCCGUACCGCAAACCGACACAGGUAGACAGGAAGAGAAUUCUAAGGCCAACGGGAGAAGGGUAGUUAAGGAACUCGGCAAAUUGACCCCGUAACUUAGGGAAAAGGGGUGCCACAGCAAUGUGGCCGCAGAGAAUAGGCCCAGGCAACUGUUUAGCAAAAACACAGGUUUCUGCCAAAUCGAAAGAUGAAGUAUAGGAGCUGACACCUGCCCGGUGCUGGAAGGUUAAGAGGAGAUGUGCAAGCAUUGAAUUGAAGCCCCAGUAAACGGCGGCCGUAACUAUAACGGUCCUAAGGUAGCGAAAUUCCUUGUCGGGUAAGUUCCGACCCGCACGAAUGGUGUAAUGAUCUGGGCACUGUCUCAAUUACCCGCCCGGCGAAAUUGUAGUACCGGUGAAGAUGCCGGUUACCCGCGACAAGACGGAAAGACCCCAUGGAGCUUUACUGCAGCUUAAUAUUGGGUUUUGAUCAUUUAUGUACAGGAUAGGCGGGAGACUAGGAAACCGUGGCGCCAGCCGCGGCGGAGUCAACCUUGGGAUACCGCUCUUAAGUGGUUGAAAUUCUAACCUGCGGCCGUGAAUCCGGCCGGGGGACAUUGUUAGGCGGGCAGUUUGACUGGGGCGGUCGCCUCCUAAAAGGUAACGGAGGCGCUCAAAGGUUAGCUCAGCACGGACGGAAACCGUGCCUUAGAGUGUAAACGCGUAAGCUAGCCUAACUGCGAGGAUGACAAUCCGAGCAGUAACGAAAGUUGGAGUUAGUGAUCCGGCGGUAUGAGAGUGGAAUUGCCGUCGCUCAACGGAUAAAAGCUACCCUGGGGAUAACAGGCUGAUCUCCCCCAAGAGUCCACAUCGACGGGGAGGUUUGGCACCUCGAUGUCGGCUCAUCACAUCCUGGGGCUGUAUUCGGUCCCAAGGGUUCGGCUGUUCGCCGAUUAAAGUGGUACGCGAGCUGGGUUCAGAACGUCGUGAGACAGUUCGGUCCCUAUCUGUCGUGGGCGCAGGAUAUUUGAGGAGAGCUGUCCUUAGUACGAGAGGACCGGGAUGGACGCACCUCUGGCGCACCAGUUGUUCCGCCAGGAGCACAGCUGGGCAGCUAAGUGCGGAUCGGAUAAACGCUGAAAGCAUCUAAGCGUGAAGCCGACUCCAAGAUAAGAUAUCCCAUAGCAUAAGCUAGUAAGACCCCUUGAAGACUACAAGGUUGAUAGGCUGCGUGUGUAAGUGUAGUAAUGCAUUGAGCUUGGCAGUACUAAUCGGUCGAGGGCUUGACCAU
rnacentral:rRNA from 1 species